GGGUUGUGAGGUUAAGCGACUAAGCGUACACGGUGGAUGCCCUGGCAGUCAGAGGCGAUGAAGGACGUGCUAAUCUGCGAAAAGCGUCGGUAAGGUGAUAUGAACCGUUAUAGCCGGCGAUGUCCGAAUGGGGAAACCCAGUGCAAUUCGUUGCACUAUCGUUAACUGAAUACAUAGGUUAACGAGGCGAACCGGGGGAACUGAAACAUCUAAGUACCCCGAGGAAAAGAAAUCAACCGAGAUUCCCCCAGUAGCGGCGAGCGAACGGGGAGCAGCCCGGAGUCUGAAUCAGCUUGUGUGUUAGUGGAAGCGUCUGGAAAGUCGCAGGGUACAGGGUGAUACUCCCGUACACUAAAACACACAGGUUGUGAACUCGAAGAGUAGGGCGGGACACGUGGUAUCCUGUCUGAAUAUGGGGGGACCAUCCUCCAAGGCUAAAUACUCCUGACUGACCGAUAGUGAACCAGUACCGUGAGGGAAAGGCGAAAAGAACCCCGGCGAGGGGAGUGAAAAAGAACCUGAAACCGUGUACGUACAAGCAGUAGGAGCCUCUUUAUGGGGUGACUGCGUACCUUUUGUAUAAUGGGUCAGCGACUUAUAUUCUGUAGCAAGGUUAACCGUAUAGGGGAGCCGCAGGGAAACCGAGUCUUAACUGGGCGUUAAGUUGCAGGGUAUAGACCCGAAACCCGGUGAUCUAGCCAUGGGCAGGUUGAAGGUUGGGUAACACUAACUGGAGGACCGAACCGACUAAUGUUGAAAAAUUAGCGGAUGACUUGUGGCUGGGGGUGAAAGGCCAAUCAAACCGGGAGAUAGCUGGUUCUCCCCGAAAGCUAUUUAGGUAGCGCCUCGUGAACUCAUCUUCGGGGGUAGAGCACUGUUUCGGCUAGGGGGUCAUCCCGACUUACCAACCCGAUGCAAACUACGAAUACCGAAGAAUGUUAUCACGGGAGACACACGGCGGGUGCUAACGUCCGUCGUGAAGAGGGAAACAACCCAGACCGCCAGCUAAGGUCCCAAAGUCAUGGUUAAGUGGGAAACGAUGUGGGAAGGCCCAGACAGCCAGGAUGUUGGCUUAGAAGCAGCCAUCAUUUAAAGAAAGCGUAAUAGCUCACUGGUCGAGUCGGCCUGCGCGGAAGAUGUAACGGGGCUAAACCAUGCACCGAAGCUGCGGCAGCGACACUAUGUGUUGUUGGGUAGGGGAGCGUUCUGUAAGCCGUUGAAGGUGGCCUGUGAGGGUUGCUGGAGGUAUCAGAAGUGCGAAUGCUGACAUAAGUAACGAUAAUGCGGGUGAAAAACCCGCACGCCGGAAGACCAAGGGUUCCUGUCCAACGUUAAUCGGGGCAGGGUGAGUCGACCCCUAAGGCGAGGCCGAAAGGCGUAGUCGAUGGGAAACAGGUUAAUAUUCCUGUACUCGGUGUUACUGCGAAGGGGGGACGGAGAAGGCUAUGUUGGCCGGGCGACGGUUGUCCCGGUUUAAGCAUGUAGGCGGAUGUUCCAGGUAAAUCCGGAACGUUACUAACGCUGAGGUGUGAUGACGAGGCACUACGGUGCUGAAGUGACAAAUGCCCUGCUUCCAGGAAAAGCCUCUAAGCAUCAGGUAACAUCAAAUCGUACCCCAAACCGACACAGGUGGUCAGGUAGAGAAUACCAAGGCGCUUGAGAGAACUCGGGUGAAGGAACUAGGCAAAAUGGUGCCGUAACUUCGGGAGAAGGCACGCUGAUAUGUAGGUGAAGUGGUUUACCCAUGGAGCUGAAAUCAGUCGAAGAUACCAGCUGGCUGCAACUGUUUAUUAAAAACACAGCACUGUGCAAACACGAAAGUGGACGUAUACGGUGUGACGCCUGCCCGGUGCCGGAAGGUUAAUUGAUGGGGUUAUCCGUAAGGAGAAGCUCUUGAUCGAAGCCCCGGUAAACGGCGGCCGUAACUAUAACGGUCCUAAGGUAGCGAAAUUCCUUGUCGGGUAAGUUCCGACCUGCACGAAUGGCGUAAUGAUGGCCAGGCUGUCUCCACCCGAGACUCAGUGAAAUUGAACUCGCUGUGAAGAUGCAGUGUACCCGCGGCAAGACGGAAAGACCCCGUGAACCUUUACUAUAGCUUGACACUGAACACUGGUCCUUGAUGUGUAGGAUAGGUGGGAGGCUUUGAAGUGUGGACGCCAGUCUGCAUGGAGCCAUCCUUGAAAUACCACCCUUUAAUGGCUGGUGUUCUAACGUGGGCCCGUUAUCCGGGUUGCGGACAGUGUCUGGUGGGUAGUUUGACUGGGGCGGUCUCCUCCUAAAGAGUAACGGAGGAGCACGAAGGUCAGCUAAUCCUGGUCGGACAUCAGGAGGUUAGUGCAAUGGCAUAAGCUGGCUUGACUGCGAGCGUGACGGCGCGAGCAGGUGCGAAAGCAGGUCAUAGUGAUCCGGUGGUUCUGAAUGGAAGGGCCAUCGCUCAACGGAUAAAAGGUACUCCGGGGAUAACAGGCUGAUACCGCCCAAGAGUUCAUAUCGACGGCGGUGUUUGGCACCUCGAUGUCGGCUCAUCACAUCCUGGGGCUGAAGUAGGUCCCAAGGGUAUGGCUGUUCGCCAUUUAAAGUGGUACGCGAGCUGGGUUUAGAACGUCGUGAGACAGUUCGGUCCCUAUCUGCCGUGGGCGCUGGAGAAUUGAGGGGGGCUGCUCCUAGUACGAGAGGACCGGAGUGGACGCAUCACUGGUGUUCGGGUUGUCAUGCCAAUGGCAUUGCCCGGUAGCUAAAUGCGGAAGAGAUAAGUGCUGAAAGCAUCUAAGCACGAAACUUGCCCCGAGAUGAGUUCUCCCUGACUCCUUGAGAGUCCUGAAGGAACGUUGAAGACGACGACGUUGAUAGGCCGGGUGUGUAAGCGCAGCGAUGCGUUGAGCUAACCGGUACUAAUGAACCGUGAGGCUUAACCUUACAACGCCGAAG
rnacentral:rRNA from 1 species